GGAAGUCAGGGAGAAAGAAGACUUCAUCUUCACUUGCAAUUCCAGGAUAGAAAAAGGUCUGCCACUCAAUAAGGAAAUUGAGAAAGAAUGGUUGAAAGUCCUUCGAGAUGAAGAAAUGCAUGCCUUGGCCAUCGCUGAAAAGUCUCAGGAGUUCUUGGAAGCAGAUAAUCGCCAGCUGCCCAAUGGUGUUUACACAACUGCAGAGCAGCGUCCGAAUGCCUACAUCCCAGAAGCAGAUGCCACUCUUCCUUUGCCAAAACCUUAUGGUGCUUUGGCUCCUUUUAAACCCAGUGAACCUGGAGCCAAUAUGAGGCACAUAAGGAAACCUGUUAUAAAGCCAGUUGAAAUCUGAAUAUGUGAACAAAUCCAGGCCUCUCAAGGAAAGGACUUCAACCAGGCUUCCUUGUACCCACAGGUGAAAAAUGAGUGAGAACACGUCAGGAAUGUGGAAGGUAAAGGUUUUAUCGGUGACUUUUCACAUCAAGGAUAUAAUGCAAUACAGUUAAGAGCAUCAGAGAGAAGAAAUAUACUUUCCAGGUAAUCAGAACACCUAGAUUUUUUU
rnacentral:sRNA from 1 species